rnacentral:rRNA from 1 species
GACGAACGCUGGCGGCGUGCUUAACACAUGCAAGUCGAGCGGUAAGGCCCUUUCGGGGGUACGACGAGCGGCGAACGGGUGAGUAACACGUGGGUGACCUGCCCUCAGCUCUGGGAUAAGCCUGGGAAACCGGGUCUAAUACUGGAUAUGACUCCAUGGCGCAUGUUGUGGGUGGAAAGCCUUGUGCGGCUGAGGAUGGGCCCGCGGCCUAUCAGCUUGUUGGUGGGGUGAUGGCCUACCAAGGCGACGACGGGUAGCCGGCCUGAGAGGGCGACCGGCCACACUGGGACUGAGACACGGCCCAGACUCCUACGGGAGGCAGCAGUGGGGAAUCUUGCGCAAUGGGCGAAAGCCUGACGCAGCGACGCCGCGUGAGGGAUGACGGCCU